rnacentral:misc_RNA from 1 species
GAUGAAGAACGUAGCGAAAUGCGAUAAGUAGUGUGAAUUGCAGAAUUCAGUGAAUCAUCGAAUCUUUGAACGCACAUUGCGCCCCUCGGUAUUCCGUGGGGCAUGCCUGUUCGAGCGUCAUUUAACCCCUCAAGCCUAGCUUGGUAUUGGGUGCUUGUCCCGCCUCUCGCGCGGCGACUCACCUCAAAGUCAUUGGCAGCCCGCAUCUCGCCGGCCGUGAGCGCAGCACAGACGCGCUCUUGGCAACGACGGAUCGGCUCUCCAAAAGCUUAUUUCAGCCACUGACCUCGGAUCAGGUAGGGAUACCCGCUGAACUUAAGCAUAUCAAUAAGCGGAGGA